rnacentral:rRNA from 1 species
CCUACGGGAGGCAGCAGUGGGGAAUUUUGGACAAUGGGCGCAAGCCUGAUCCAGCAAUGCCGCGUGAGUGAAGAAGGCCUUCGGGUUGUAAAGCUCUUUUGUCAGGGAAGAAACGGUCUACUCUAAUACAGUGGGCUAAUGACGGUACCUGAAGAAUAAGCACCGGCUAACUACGUGCCAGCAGCCGCGGUAAUACGUAGGGUGCAAGCGUUAAUCGGAAUUACUGGGCGUAAAGCGUGCGCAGGCGGUUAUAUAAGUCAGAUGUGAAAUCCCCGGGCUCAACCUGGGAACUGCAUUUGAGACUGUAUGGCUAGAGUGUGUCAGAGGGGGGUAGAAUUCCACGUGUAGCAGUGAAAUGCGUAGAUAUGUGGAGGAAUACCGAUGGCGAAGGCAGCCCCCUGGGAUAACACUGACGCUCAUGCACGAAAGCGUGGGGAGCAAACAGGAUUAGAUACCCUGGUAGUCCACGCCCUAAACGAUGUCUACUAGUUGUCGGGACUUAAUUGUCUUGGUAACGCAGCUAACGCGUGAAGUAGACCGCCUGGGGGAGGUACGGUCGCGAGAAGUUAAAACGUUAAAAGUUAAGUAAGUUAGUACGGACGUGAGACGUAGACCGACGGACGACGACGAGGGGAGGAGG